GACGAACGCUGGCGGCGUGCUUAACACAUGCAAGUCGAACGGAAAGGCCCUGCUUUUGUGGGGUGCUCGAGUGGCGAACGGGUGAGUAACACGUGAGUAACCUGCCCUUGACUGUGGGAUAACUUCAGGAAACUGGGGCUAAUACCGGAUAGGAGCUCCUGCUGCAUGGUGGGGGUUGGAAAGUUUCGGCGGUUGGGGAUGGACUCGCGGCUUAUCAGCUUGUUGGUGGGGUAGUGGCUUACCAAGGCUUUGCAGGGUAGCCGGCCUGAGAGGGUGACCGGCCACAUUGGGCCUGAGAUACGGCCCAGACUCCUACGGGAGGCAGCGGUGGGGAAUAUUGCACAAUGGGCGGAAGCCUGAUGCGACAACGCCGCGUGCGGGAUGACGGCCUUCGGGUUGUAAACCGCUUUCGCCUGUGACGAAGCGUGAAUGACGGUAAUGGGUAAAGAAGCACCGGCUAACUACGUG
rnacentral:rRNA from 1 species